CGCCAUAUUUUGUCAUGGACGCACUGCCCAGUGAGAAAGACGUGGACGCGUGUAUUUAGGUCACCUUCCUCAUCUCCGUCCGCCGGCCCAAAAAUCCACCUUCUCCUCUGUUCUCCUUCUCUCCCAAGCCGCCCCCAUGCCGAUUCAGCCCCAACCUGCAGCCUCCUUCUCUCCCUAGCCGCCCCAUGCCGAUCCUGCAGCAUGCAAGGAGCAAGGGGGAACUAGAUCGGCCCCAACAGGGCAAGAUCCCCGUGCACCAGAUCUAUCAUCCCCAUCGUGGGAGCAGCCAUGGCCUCCCUGAAUCCUUUUGUCCAUCCAAAGGAUCUGCGCCGACGAGCACAGGGCGAGGUCCUGGUGCACCGGAUCCGUCGCCGCCCACUACAGGAGGAGCCAUGGCAUCCGGUUCACCGUGCGUUCUGCCCUUCUCUAAGAAUGGAUCUACGCCGACGACCCCAUACUGCCCAAGGUCCAUUCUCCCACCAUGCUUCCACCACUAUCAAGGAAACUGAGAGAUGUGCAUCUACACAAUAUAUUUGCUCAGCUCAUCAUGGUCUCAACUAAGUCGUGAAGCUGCUUGUUUGACCAAUUGACCAACAUGUAGAUCUUGGCGCACGACAGAGUUACCGUGUGGUGUGACCGAGGCUUCUUCCACUAUGACCCCUCCUGCCCUGCCUCUUCGGUGGCCCCGAUUCUUCUUCCACUCUGGGAUAGCUCGUGGAUAUGGUACAUCAUCAUCACCGAUGAAGAGGAGAAGGGGUUUAUCGUGUCAGGAAAGGUGUGUGGUGGUAGGCUUGGUCUCUGGCCUCGGCAUCUUCCGUUGGCCCUGGUGCCGCGCGGCUGAGGCGAUGUUGUUUGGCAUCAGCUACAAAAUAGCCAUGGUGAGCUCCUCUCCAUCGUCUGCUAAUUCAUGUAAUAUUCACAUGAUGUUCAAGAUUCUCUUAUGUAUGGUUUUAGACAUUUAGAAGUGGGGUUCAGUGAGGCUAAAAAACAUUCAGUUAUUUGUACGUGCCAAUUCAAGUAACUGUUUUUUUGAGAUGGCUGUGAUGUUCCUUUUCUUUUUGACCUGUUGUUUUUUUGCACCUUUGAUGAUCUUUUACAUCUAUAGUGGUUUAUGCACUCUAAUGGUUAAUUGACUGCAACAUAACAUAAUGUAGUUGUAUUAUAAAAGUAACUUAGCAAGUGGGAUACCAUACAUGUUCCUGCAUUGUUUGUCAAGUGUGGUUUUUAUUUCAGAAGGCAACAGAGAGGCAUGACACGCAUGCUUUGCUGCAAAAGUUCAAAAAUUGUGUCUUCUUCAUGCGAUUAAACUUAGGAAUUGAGAGGCUAUUUUCUAGACACAUGCAGUUUCAUUUCGAGCUUGGUUGACUUUCGAGAGGUUUGAAAACAUGCAUUGUAACUCAGAUAGAUCAUAUAGCACUGUACUUAUUUUCUGGUAUUUUGUAUAAACAGAUAAAUAUUUUGUUCUUAUUUUCAGUUAUUUACAGGUUAUUGCCGACAUGAGGUCUAUAUGUCCAUGGUUGUUGUGCUACUGUUAAUAUGAUGCAGAUUUUUGUGUUCUUACGUAAGCUGCCUAUUUUUUAUAUUUUAUCUAAGUGCCGAACUUGUGAUUCUUAUACUCAGCCUCAUGUUUUGUGAGCCAGAUGUUCCUCUUUAAGACCUGGAUGGGCAACCUGUUGCAAGUGCUCAAGGGGUGUUCAGAGCAUAUACUUCUCAAGGCCAACAUUGUGAUGCAUGUGUAGUUAGUUUAGAAGUGUUUUGGUAUAGCAACACGAGCUAAUAUGUAGUUUGGUCUGUAGUUCAUUGUAUAUGCAAGUUGAAUUGUCCUAACCAUUUUAUGAAACUUAAUCUAGCUUUUUAUUGGAUUGCUGGGUGGUAUGAAUAUGUUGUAUGAUGAAUAAUUUUGAAUUAUGGUUGGUAUAAAUCCAAAUUUGGCAUGUGUUACUAGGGCAA